UACAGAGGUCUCAAGCGUUGUUCGGAUUCAUUGGGCGUAAAGGGUGCGUAGGCGGCGCGGUAAGUCGGGUGUGAAAUCUUGGAGCUUAACUCCGAAACUGCAUUCGAUACUGCCGUGCUUGAGGACUGGAGAGGAGACUGGAAUUUACGGUGUAGCGGUGAAAUGCGUAGAUAUCGUAAGGAAGACCAGUGGCGAAGGCGGUUCUCUGGGACGGUACUGACGCUGAGACGCGAAAGCGUGGGGAGCGAACAGG
rnacentral:rRNA from 1 species